GUGUAAGAUCCAGAUUUCUGAAGGACUUGAGAUGCGGCUCAGAAAUCAACUUAGAGCAUUUUCAUGUCUGACUACUGGUAUUGGAGGUUGAUCCCAUGCAAAGAAACUGGAAGCUGCAACUGUUUUGCAACAGCCAACCAGUCUAAUGAAGAGAAAGAAGAAGAUACAAACCAUCAGGUUGUGGUGUCAGAUAUCAUGCAGCUUGUGCGAGAUAAGCAGGAGGUGCCAGAAAGCACAGCAGAUAUUCUCCAUGCAGGAUGAAACAUUAGAUACUUGCUGGAACUAAAGUAGGAAAGCUUUGUCAAUUCUGUUUAGUCCCUGACAUGAGUACCUUUGUGCUUUUGGUGCCUCAGGUGGCUCCAAAGAAAUUGGAAAAGUGCUUAAGCAGCAGUGUAAUUGAAAUUCAGGAGGGGUUACAUGUCUAACCUGUUUAGGCAUUCUGUAAAUCCCAUUUUUCUGCAUCUGU